rnacentral:rRNA from 1 species
CCCUUAGAUGUUCUGGGCCGCACGCGCGCUACAAUGAUGAAUUCAACGAGUUUAUAACCUUGGUUGAAAAGCCUGGGUAAUCUUUUGAACUUUCGUCGUGAUGGGGCUAGACCCUUGCAAUUAUUGGUCUCCAACGAGGAAUUCCUAGUAAACGCAAGUCAUCAGCUUGCAUUGAUUACGUCCCUGCCCUUUGUACACACCGCCCGUCGCACCUACCGAUUGAAUGGUCCGGUGAAAUCUUCGGAUUGAGGCUUUGAUUUCUUCACGGAAAACGCUGUUUUAAAAAGUUGAUUAAACCUUACCAUUUAGAGGAAGGUGAAGUCGUAACA